rnacentral:rRNA from 1 species
GACGAACGCUGGCGGCGUGCUUAACACAUGCAAGUCGAACGGAAAGGCCCUGCUUUUGUGGGGUGCUCGAGUGGCGAACGGGUGAGUAACACGUGAGUAACCUGCCCUUGACUUUGGGAUAACUUCAGGAAACUGGGGCUAAUACCGGAUAGGAGCUCCUGCUGCAUGGUGGGGGUUGGAAAGUUUCGGCGGUUGUGGAUGUACUGGCGGGUUAUCAGCUUGUUGGUGGGGUAGUGGCUUACCAAGGCUUUGACGGGUAGCCGGCCUGAGAGGGUGACCGGGCACAUUGGGACUGAGAGACGGCCCAGACUCGUACGGGAGACAGCAGUGGGGAGUAUUGCACAAUGGGCGGAAGCCUGAUGCAGCAACGCCGCGUGCGGGAUGACGGCCUUCGGGUUGUAAACCGCUUUCGCCUGUGACGAAGCGUGAGUGACGGUAAUGGGUAAAGAAGCACCGGCUAACUACGUG